CGACGGUGAUGACGAAAAUAUCCGCGCUUCUGAUGAGCCUCGGCUCGUGAGGUUAACGAUAUAUUAUGGUUGAAUUUCUUCGGCUGAGUCG
rnacentral:snoRNA from 1 species